GGGUUGUGAGGUUAAGCGACUAAGCGUACACGGUGGAUGCCCUGGCAGUCAGAGGCGAUGAAGGACGUGCUAAUCUGCGAUAAGCGUCGGUAAGGUGAUAUGAACCGUUAUAACCGGCGAUUUCCGAAUGGGGAAACCCAGUGUGUUUCGACACACUAUCAUUAACUGAAUCCAUAGGUUAAUGAGGCGAACCGGGGGAACUGAAACAUCUAAGUACCCCGAGGAAAAGAAAUCAACCGAGAUUCCCCCAGUAGCGGCGAGCGAACGGGGAGCAGCCCAGAGCCUGAAUCAGUGUGUGUGUUAGUGGAAGCGUCUGGAAAGGCGCGCGAUACAGGGUGACAGCCCCGUACACAAAAAUGCACAUGCUGUGAGCUCGAUGAGUAGGGCGGGACACGUGGUAUCCUGUCUGAAUAUGGGGGGACCAUCCUCCAAGGCUAAAUACUCCUGACUGACCGAUAGUGAACCAGUACCGUGAGGGAAAGGCGAAAAGAACCCCGGCGAGGGGAGUGAAAAAGAACCUGAAACCGUGUACGUACAAGCAGUGGGAGCACGCUUAGGCGUGUGACUGCGUACCUUUUGUAUAAUGGGUCAGCGACUUAUAUUCUGUAGCAAGGUUAACCGAAUAGGGGAGCCGAAGGGAAACCGAGUCUUAACUGGGCGUUAAGUUGCAGGGUAUAGACCCGAAACCCGGUGAUCUAGCCAUGGGCAGGUUGAAGGUUGGGUAACACUAACUGGAGGACCGAACCGACUAAUGUUGAAAAAUUAGCGGAUGACUUGUGGCUGGGGGUGAAAGGCCAAUCAAACCGGGAGAUAGCUGGUUCUCCCCGAAAGCUAUUUAGGUAGCGCCUCGUGAAUUCAUCUCCGGGGGUAGAGCACUGUUUCGGCAAGGGGGUCAUCCCGACUUACCAACCCGAUGCAAACUGCGAAUACCGGAGAAUGUUAUCACGGGAGACACACGGCGGGUGCUAACGUCCGUCGUGAAGAGGGAAACAACCCAGACCGCCAGCUAAGGUCCCAAAGUCAUGGUUAAGUGGGAAACGAUGUGGGAAGGCCCAGACAGCCAGGAUGUUGGCUUAGAAGCAGCCAUCAUUUAAAGAAAGCGUAAUAGCUCACUGGUCGAGUCGGCCUGCGCGGAAGAUGUAACGGGGCUAAACCAUGCACCGAAGCUGCGGCAGCGACGCUUAUGCGUUGUUGGGUAGGGGAGCGUUCUGUAAGCCUGUGAAGGUGUGCUGUGAGGCAUGCUGGAGGUAUCAGAAGUGCGAAUGCUGACAUAAGUAACGAUAAAGCGGGUGAAAAGCCCGCUCGCCGGAAGACCAAGGGUUCCUGUCCAACGUUAAUCGGGGCAGGGUGAGUCGACCCCUAAGGCGAGGCCGAAAGGCGUAGUCGAUGGGAAACAGGUUAAUAUUCCUGUACUUGGUGUUACUGCGAAGGGGGGACGGAGAAGGCUAUGUUG
rnacentral:rRNA from 1 species